rnacentral:lncRNA from 1 species
AGAAUACAGACUCGAGGAAAUGAAUAAAAAACUCACAUACACACCAUUGAAAGGGACAGAAUAGGGAACUUCUCCAUUUUUUCCUUUCUUUAGAGAACAAUAUCACGCACACCCAGCCAGAUAGUUCCCUUUUUCUUCAUCAUAAUCACACAAUUUCCACACACUAAAAACACACACUGAAAUCUCGAUCUACACGGGCAACAACAAACAGAGAGAGACGAUGGCUGAUUCUUGUUUUCUCAAUUAACAGUAAAUACACUAUCACACACUCACGCACGUACACAGUGGAAAGCGAGAGAGAUUUGAAGGAGAUCGAGAGAGGGGAAUAGAGAUGAGAGAGCUAAUCGAAGAUUGAGGGAGAGUGAAGAGAAAAAUUCAGAGAGGGUGAACUAGGGAGAGAACAACUAGGGAGGUUUGAACGGAGAGAGUGAAAAAGGGUGUUGGUCCAUUUUUCCAGCAAAAUCUUUGCUGGAAUUGACCCGUGGUUACUAGUUCGGCCCCAAACCUGUUGGGAAAAUGCCAAAACAACAUCGUUCUUUUCCGUUCUAGAUUUGGUGGAAAAAUAGUCAAAUUUAGUUUGGAUUUUUUUUCUUGUAACAUCGAGUGGUGCGAGACUAUUUGGGGUAGCGUUUGGUCAUCGUUGAGGUUCUUCGAUCGAGGUCCGGUGCGGCUGAGGAUUUGUCUUAGCAUGGUUUUUCUGUUCUGAAUCCAGCAGCAUGUUUCUCAAUCGAAUAUGACGGUUUUAAGCCCAAUUGAGGUUUAAUUCUUCUUCCGUUUAUCUUAAAUCUAUUGAUGCUAUGAUUAUAUGAUUCGUAUGUGGUUGAUGACACAUUUUUGAUUAUGUGAUUGAACAAUUCUAUUUAUUUUGGAUCGAUUGAUCAAUUCUAUAUUAAAAUUGGUUAAUUGGUUGAGAAUGACUCAAAUUCGUUUUGGGGUAAAUGAAAUAGAGUCCGGAAUUGAGAAAUUGAUAAAAGGGUGAAUUUAGAUUAAUUUUAGUUUAUUGUUGUUUUAUUUAAUAGGAAUAAAUGUCAAGUUUGUUAACUCAACCAUAUUCUAGUCCGAAAGCUUAAUAGGCAAAAGUUUAGGUUUGGGUAGGCAAAUUUAUGAAUUGUUGAGUAAUGUGGAAUGUUUGUUGAAUAGUUCUAUUUUUCUCGCAUUCGAAAGAUGUAUUCAUUUAACCGGGGAAUGCCCCGUGGUCAUUUGUAUUUAUUCACUGAAGAAUUCCCCAAAGUAUUGUGUAUGCAAAGGAUGCUCGUGAUCAAGGCCCGAAACAUCGGGUGAAGAAUUGGAGCGUAGUUUAGGAUUAGCGUAGGUUAGAAUAGGAUUUAUAUUUUUUGCAUUUUUCUAUGUUGGACUGUAUAAUUGGAUUGGACACUAUAUUUUUGAUUAUUUUACUUUGUUUGUUUGAUUGAUUGUUUAUGUGUUUUAGUGUGGUUUAUACAUUUUAUAAUGUCAAAUUAACUGAUAUACCCCACCAAGCGACCGUGGUCGAACCAUGGAAUCGAGGGGUGCCUAACACCUUCCCCUCAGUCAACAGAAUUCCAUAGUUGGAAUCUCUGUUUGCAAAUCAGUUUUAAAAAAGCAAAUCAUUUUUGAAAAAGAAUCUCCAAAGGUGACUUGACACAUUAAAUUUAUGUCAAGUGGCGACUCUGAAUAUAAUUGUGGUUUAAAAAAGCAAAUCAUUUUCAUCUUUUGUCACUUUAAUAAUAAAAAUCUUUUUUGCACUUUAAAAUCAUAUUUUUGGUUAAAAAAAAGGUGUGACAGCCCUGGCAACUCCGUUGGGGAAUUUUCAGAACUCGAUCUUAUUUUUUGGAGUUGCUUGGUUUGGUAUUAUGAUUGUAUAGACGUUGUUUGAGUUAUUGUUUGUUUUUGUUUUAUCAUUUUUUAGUGUUUACGUGCUCUGUGUUUAUAGAAUUCCACUUAUGUGUUACUGCUUUAUAUCUGGAAUCAUUUGCAUAACUCGAGUUAAUUUUUCUGCAACAAGUUAUAUAGUACACGCUGUGUACACGACCUAUAGUUGGGUCACCUUUAUUUUAGGAGAAAGAGCUGUCGGCUAGUAUGGAGUAGGUGGAAAGUAAUCGUAACCACUAUUAACCUACGCUCCCCCGAACAACCUUGUUAAUGGACCCCAGUGUAGGUCAACCUUUAGGUCAUGCUUAUCUGCAUUAUAUUGAGGCCUAGCAGGACCCACAUGACCCUUUGUAGGAGACUUAUCUCUAAAGCAUCUCUACGUGCUAAAUGUUGCAUCUUUGAGAGUAAUAUGAUCAUUUAACAGUUUGAUUUGGGGAAAACAUGUGCUAGAAUUAAAGGAAAGUGUGUAGGCAAGAAAAAAUUUAAAAAAAAGGAAAAAAGAGAGAAGGUGAAUCAAAAAAGAGUUUCGUAGUUGUUUAGAGUUUUUAUGGCUUUUAUUUUUCAUAUCCAAAAAAUCAAAAGUUUCAUAGUUGUUUAGAGUUUUUAUGGCUUUUGUUUUCCAUAUCCAAAAAAUAAAAAAAAGGUUUUACCUUAUGCACUCAUUUGUCAAAAAAAAAAAAAAACAUCAAAAAGAUAUUCCCUUUAUCUCCUUUAGCAUAAUUUCAUAAUUCAAAAUUCCAAAAAGAUUUUUUUAGGAGAUUUUAUAAAAGAAAAUUUAAAAAAUGGUAGUAAUUGUGUCCAUUUCAUAAAAUGAAAAUACCAAAAAGAUUUUUCUUUCGAAGUUAUUGGUGUCAUUUUUAGACGAAAUGUCUAAUUAGAAAUCCCAAAAUAUUUUCUUGACGUUGUUCAUCGUCUGUCUUUAGUCGUGUCUCCUAAGUUAGGUUGAGUUGGUUGUUUAACCUUUUAUUGUCCAAUCUGGUGAACUACGCAUCCCUGAUUCUCCUCUCUCGGGAGUGAGAUACGUAGGUAGCCUAUUGUGGGUUCAGGGAUCUUAUUUAAAAAAUUUCAAAAAGAUUUUCUUCAUUCUUCAUUUAGAGUAGGUGUUCAUAUACAUUUCUAAAAGAAAACUACAAAAAGAUUUUUCUUUAAUAGUUUCAGGUUUCUUUGUCAUAUGAAAUUCAAAAUAAAAUAAAAAAAUUUCUUUGGUAAUCAUAGGUUUCAUGUUGUAUAGGAAUAUGAAAAUUCAAAAAGAUUUUGUUUCACUCUUCAUUUAGAGUAGGUGUCAUAUACAUUUUUAAAAGAAAACUACAAAAAUAUUUUCCUUUAGUAGGUUCAAAUCUCAUUUUUGUAUGAAAUUAAAAAUCGAAAACCCGAAAAGAAUUUUUCUUUGGUAAUCAUAGGUUUCAUUUUGUAUAGAGAUUUAAACCUAGAAAAUGCAAAAAAAGAUUUUCGUCAAUUCUUUUGACAUGUUAUUACUUUUUUUUCUUCUAAAGUUUCAAGAAAAAGAAAAAGAGCUUUAUUGGCCCAUUUGCGGUCAAAUGUCAUGAACUAUGCACACCUGAUUCUCCUCUUUCAGGAGUGAGAUAUGUAGGCGUCCUUUUCAGAUUCGGUGAUCUUUUCAAAAAGAAAAAAAAGAGAAAGAUUUUGAGAAAGUGUUGUACUCUAACACAUUUGUUAUCCCUUGUUCAGUUAGUUUAAGGUGGUUGGUUUGUGGCUUUCUGGCUGGUCCUCCACAUUACACCAAGUCUAAGGAAGAGUUAGUCAUGUCCAACAAGGAUAUAGAAAGUAACCUCAUGGAUCAAACAAAGAGUCAGGAAAAUGAGAGUUUAAAGGAAGAGAAUUUGAGACUAAGACAGGAAAUGAUGGAAAUGUAUCGAGCUUGGGCCAGUGGGCUGCCUCCUCCUCCAUUACCCACUAUUGACCCUGCAAAUAUCUUAAGUUUUCUAUCAUAAUUGCAAAGUCAGUUUCCUAUUGUUGUUGACGCACCACAAUAUGCCUUCAAAUUCAUUCCUCGUCAGCUUCAUCCCAAUACUUCCACCACUCCUUCUCUAGCUCCUCAGUAUAAGCCUACUAUAUUCACAACACCACAUACCAUCUGUGAUUUUGCUGCUCAACCCUCUACUGAGGCCUCCACAUUGGCUAUCUGCCCAAUGGUUAUAGUUUCCCAGGCCGCUAGAGAAACCAUGUUCAAUACUCUUGAUGAUCAUUUCUAUACUCUUGAACCUACUUUUAAGUUAACUGGACCACCAAAAUUUCUUACCAAGAAGUUUGACAUGGCAGAAGAGCGAAUGGUUGAAAAAAUGAAUGGUACAAAAAAUGCUAUGAAAAGUUCCCUAGGACUCUCGGGUAAAGAAGAUGUUUCUUGUAAAGACUAGGGCAUGUUUUAAAGUGUCAACCUUCUUCAAAGCUUUGAGAAAUCAAAAUUUGUCUGUGGAACAUUUGGGACAAUACUGCAAUCAAUCAAGUGAAAUUGAAGGAAAGAAGAAGGAAAACACACCUAUUGUCAUGCCAGGUCCAAAACAGAGUUUGAGAGGUCCAACCCACCAGUACUAUCAGCCUCAGUGCCGAGCUUACAUAUUAUAUCCACAUAACCACUUGCAACAAAGUUCCUUUCUCUAAAAUCCAAGAAAUCCCAUUCCACUCCCUCAAUAAACUUUGAACAAUGCAUAGUCGUAUGCUCAUCCGUCUUCCUAUCCAUAAUGGCGUGUCCCGGUCCCUCAACUUCGUCCUUGACCUCCAAAAAUUUACCAAGGAACCUCUAAAUCCAAGUUUCAUACAAGGCCAUAGUUUCCAAUGAGGAGGAAGACAAAGGAUAAUUUCACGCCAAUUGGGGAGUCCUAUACCAGUUUGUUCCAGACAUUGAGACAAGGGGGCAUGAUUACUCCUAUCCCUGGGUAUACUUCCGAUCCACAUUAAAUUUUUUUUAUCCUAAUGUAUGAUGUGCUUAUCAUUCUAAUAUGCAAGGUCACAGUACUGAAGAUUGUCGUAUUUUGAAAAGAGAAAUAGAGAAAAUAAUUCAAGAAAAAAUGAUUGUGGUGCAAAACAUUGGCACCUCAACCGUCCCACAGAGUUUUUCGCCAGUACGUGGUACUGCACAAUAUAUGGGAAGCAAUGAGUUAAUCAUGAGGAUCCUAAUACAAGAAUCAACUACUAAAAACGAAAGUAACAUUAAGAACCUAAAAAUCAGUAACAAUAAAAAAGGAAAACAACACAUAGAAGAAAAGAGAUUAAGUAGAAAUGCAUGAAAAUGAAAAGGAUAGGUAGUGAGACCCUUACUAUCACCAAUGAUUAGCACAAGAAUGCGUAUCAAACAUUCAAACACACCUCACCAAUGGUAGUUCAAGCCUCACUCUUAGGUGAACCAAAGGAAUUCACAUUCCCCAAUCAUACCUUUCUUGCCAAUUGAUCAACACAAGCGAAAUCCAUCUAAUGUAUUAAUCCCUAGUUUCGAUGUCUUUUUCAAGACCUACACUAAGAUGGAUUUUCCAAGCCAUACACUAAGGAAAUAAAAUACAAUUUGAGUUUUAACCAAUCCAUUAUAAUAAAAAAAGAAGCUAAAAUGUCUAUUUAUACUUAUUACAACACAAUGACUAAAAUGCCCUUAAUAAGGGAUUCAAGAAAGGCUCCUCUUGAGUGUAUUUUAUAGUGUAAAAAGUCUACCAUGCCCUUAAUGUGAGGCGCCUAUGAUGUGUAAGAUCCAUCCUCCUUUCUUCACUUGGACAAGGCUUUGAAAAGGCUCCAAAAGGUUUUUAAUCACUUGCACCAUCUGAGACUUGAACCUCCUACAAGCCCUUGUACUCUUUGAGCUCUUUAUACUUGUAUCAUUCUCUCCAUCUUGAAAGAAAUUUGUCCUUAAAUUCACACCUUGCAAAAAUCAAUGAGAGGAACAAAAAGCACACAAUCCUUAUGAUAGGAGGGUUGGCAUUUGUACCAUAAUUAUAUGAACACACCAAGGGGGUAUACUCUUGGAAUAUAACCAAUAAUCAUUUGCUAUGAUCAUAAAACACUUAGUACAAGUAUUACAAAGGACAUGGCUAAGAUAGAUAUAAAAAAGAGAGGAGUGCAACCUGAAAUCACCAUCACAUAUAUCAACAAGCCAAGGUUGUUCACAUUUGAAAUACAUCCAAAAAUACUUUGUAUGUGACAUGAAAAACAUAGUAUGAAUGGAACAAAGGAGGUGGUUUUGGACAAUAUCAAGAGAUAAGGAAACUACAAUGGUAUUAAUGGCUUUACUUUCCCAAAAGGUAAGACUGCCUUUGGCUAAGGAACUAUAAGAUACAUUUGUUUCAUUACCUCUACAAAGAACUUCAUCAAAUAUGGUUCCACUAUUGAUCCUAACGUCCACCUUACCCACAUAUCAUUAUCAUUCAACAAGGAAUCUAACCACCAAACCUACUACCUCUAUACAUUACUUCAAAAUUAACAUGGUUAUCAUCAUAGGUAAAGAGGUAGUAUAGGAAGGAAUCAAGUAUGAAGACUUCACGCCGAGGGGGUGCACUUUUAAAAUACAACCAACAAUCCCUUGUUUUGACAAUGAAACAUUUAGUAUGAGCAUUACAAAGGAUAGGGAUAUGAUGAAUAUCAAGGAGGAAUGAGCACAAAUAGAGACAGUUCCUUUCCCACCCCACUAGUGCACCGAGAUCAAAUGGAUAAAGUAGACAAGGGCAUAAGCUGAGGAUACUCAUUCCUUUUAGUAGAAUAUCAAGCCCACAAUCACCAAGGCAUUACUCACAACUUUGACAAACACAUGGUCACUAUGAACAAGACUAAAAUUAUGGAUUUCAUCACACAAGUUCAAAGGACCAUAUCCAUUAUCUAGAUCAACAUUACAAACAUCAAUACUAACUUGAAAAUUUUCAAUCAUACUAUUCACAUGUUCAAGUAGUGGACUACAUUCGUGAGUAAGUUGAUCAUCAUUCACAACCUCACUAGUUGUUGGCAACCAUAUACCAAUAUAGACUCACCUUGUUUUUCACAAGGGUCAACUAGUGUGUGAAUACUCCUAUCACUUGGUAAUGUAACCUUAUUCAAGUUUUAAGUGAUAGCACUAGGUGGAAACAAAUCAUUCUUACAAAAAAAUGAUUUUGUCAUCUAAAAGAUCAACUAGUGCUUGCGUACUCACAAUAAGAGCUUGGUUCUUAUGCAACCUAAAAACACCAAGAGUAUCACAAAAGGAAGAUUCAUACACUUCUUCACUAAGAAAAUCCAAAACUACACUACUUUGGCCACUACUAGCCACAUCACAAUAAUUUAAGUUUCUAGGAGUGUAGAAAAUAGCUUUGUUACCUUGUAGAUCAUGGGAAGUGUGUUCUUCACUUGGUUUUGCAUUAUGGAAGCCUUCAUGCUCAGCAUUAUAAGUGAAUAUGUCAAGGUUUUCCUUUGGACUCACUUCUUCAUCACUUAUCCCAAAAUUGAAACUUUCGGCUAAAGGCUUGAAGAGAACUUCCUUGGGCUUCUCCUUGGGGCUUCUAGGGUCUUAAACUUGCACAUAAGAAGAGAAAAUACUAGGCAAAAUGCUAGUAUUUGGGUUAGUUAGUAAUAAGGAUUCUUUGUGGACAAGAUACACAAUCAAACAUUUCUUUCCCUCUCCAACUUCACUACCCGCGGUUUCUCUUUCCCUUUUUCCCUAUUUUCUUCACAUUCCUCUUGUAUCCCACUACUAAGUUUCUCUCCAUCUUGAGGCUUGACCUCAUUCUCCUUGGAUUCUAACUUGUGGAGAGGAGGCAUUGGAUUUGGUUGAUGAUGGGUUUAGAUUUGUGGCAUGGGGUUUUAUAGUAUGUAAGGUUUUUGGUCAAGUGGAUUUGGGACUUGGUGGUUUGAAUUUUGUGGAGGUUUUGGUGGACAUAGUCUAUCAGCCCCCACUUUAAUAAUAAUCAUGUCACCUCUCAUGGAUCCAAAAUCACCUCAUGGAUCCUACAUCACCCUUCAUGGAUCUCAAGUCACCUUUUAUAAGGUCCAAAAUCACCCUUCAAGUCUUGGUUUAGUGCAUCCAACCGAGCCAUCAAGACUCCCAAAACAUCAUUUCCCAAAGGUUGAGAUGUGGUACCUUUGGAUUCCAUUACAAUUUUACCUAACAAGAAGCAAAAAACAACAAAGGAAAAACCUACAAAACGAACAAACACGUUAGUUCAAUAAACGUCACCACACUCGCACUCGGAUCUCAUAUCACACUUGGUCUCACAAGUGUUGAAAACUUGGUAAUACUUGGCAAGUGAAUGAGUGGUGAAUAUGAUUUGGCCCGGAAUCAAUUUUUGUUUGAUAUGACUAAAAAAAAUAAUGUACGGACUUGAACCAACAAACUAUUACGAAUUAAACAUGAGAACAACACAUAAAAAUUGAAGACAUGAAAUAAACUAACUCUAGACUAAUUAUCAGCCUAGUAGGAAGUUACUAGUUUGCUAAUUAGUGGUAGAGUCAACUCAAAAACAACUAGAAACAACAAAUAGAAACUUAGGAAUCUAGUUAAGAACUCAAUUUGGUCGUUUAUAUAAGUGAUGAUGUGGCAGCUUGGAAUUAGGCUUCACUUUUCAAAAUUUUUAACUUCUAAAUUUUUGUUUUCGGCCAAACACUCCUUUAGGGAAGAAGAAUUUCGGUUUUAGAGGGAAAAAUGAAGAUUUGAAGCCUUUUUUAGAGCUUCAAAUGAAUUCAAAAUGGAUUGGUCCCCUCAAGAGUACUUUCAAUUGUACUUGCUUGUCCCCCUUUCCUUUCUGGAAGACUUAUAAUAUGCUAGGGAAUAUUCUUGUACAAACACUUAUUACAGUUUCUUUCUUCUUCCUUUUUGGAUCAAACAAGCUACUUGAAUAUUCUUCUUCAAUAAGAUUUGAAGAUGGUGGAUGAACAAUGUGAAUAUUAAAGAGUUGACCAUGGUUUGACCACUAGGCAAAUAAACCCCAAAUUCAAAUUUUCUUUUAGAUCUAGGUUCCUUUAGCAAAGAUAAGUUCAAAUAUCAAAAAAUCAGCCACAACACACCACAAACAAGGUGUUCACCACGAGAUCCCCCCUCAAAAAGCUUCAAACAAGUUACAACAAUGGUGGAUCUAGCUAAAAAGCAACCAAAUCUUGUUCUAAACUUAGAUCUAGACCCUUUAAGUGCUAGAGAACAAGAAUCUAACACUAGAAACUAUCAAAAAAAGCUAAAAAUUAGUAGAUCUAAGUUGAAAAAUUUGGAUCUACUAUCAAACACAUAAGAUUCAACACUUUUUUUGUAUUUUUUUUUGACUCUAGACUCUUUUUUUGUUGAGAUUUUCUUAGAUUCAAGGCUUAGAGUUGUGGGAACAACUCUAAUACAUGGAUUUGAUACCAAAUGAUACAAGAAUCAACUACUAAAAAUGAAAUUAACCUUAAGAACCUAAAAAUCAAAAACUAUAAAAAAGGAAAACAACACAUAGAAGAAAGGAGAUGAAGUAAAAAUGCAUGAAAAUAAAAAGAAUAGGUAAUGAGAACCUUAAUAUCACCAAUGAUUAGCACAAGAAUGUGUAUCUAAUAUUCAAACGCACCUCACCAAUGAUAGUUCUAACCUCACUCUUAGGUGGACCAAAGGAAUUUACACUCCUCAAUCACACCUUUCUUACCAAUUGAUCAACACAAGUGAAAUCCAUCAAAUGUCUUUAUCCCUAGUUUCAAUGUCUUUUCCAAGAUCUACACUAAGAUGUCUUUUCCAAGCCCUACACUAAGGAAAGAAAAUAUACUUUGAGUUUUACUCAAUCCAUUCAUCAAAGUCUAAUGAAAAGGGAAGCUAAAAUAUCUAUUUAUACUUAUUACAAGGGCUUCAAGAAAGGCUCCUCUUGAGUGUUAUUUUAUAGUGUAAAAAUUCCAUCAUGCCCUUAAUGUGAGGUGCCUAUGGUGUGUAAGAUCCCUCCUCCUUUCUACACUUGGACAAGGCUUUGAAAAGGCUCCUAAAGGCCUUCAAUCACUUGAACCAUCUGAGACUUGAACCUUCUACAAGCUCUAGUACUCUUUGUGCACUUUAUGCUUGUAUCAGAUCUAGAACUUAUUUAUUGAAGGGAAUUUAUCUGAUCGUGGUGGAAGUUGUUGUCAUGCUAUGGAAACCAGUGGCUAAGUUGUUAGUAUGAGCAAUUGAGAAGUCACCCCCCUCUCUACUAGAAAGAGGUCUGGUAGUGUGUUUUGUUUUCUUUUUUAUUUUUUGAAUCAUUCCAGGUUUGUUGUUUGGGAUCUAUCUUAUUUUGUCCCUUUGUCGUUUAUGUUCAAACCCUUCUAUCUUUUAUCUCAACUAAAUGAAGUAUCCCUUUCCUUUUGUGUUUUAUAUAUGUGUUGUUUAUUUUCUUUACAUAGUACAUUUUAUGUUGAUUCUAUAGAUAUGACAUGCUAGCGGAAUUUUUAGUCAAAUCUUAAAAUCCAGUUUAAGGACGAACUUUUAAUCAGAGGGCUAAAGUCAGAAAAAACAUUUGAGAAAAUUGGUAGGGUGUUGAAUAAUUUGGUGACAAGUUGAAGCUUUUUUUUUUCAAAAUUAAGGUAAUUAUUUUGAGAAUGAAAAGAAUAACUUGGUCAUCAAUUGAAAAGUAUAGCUCAAUCAGGUCAAAUAGUAGAUGUGUGAUCCCUAUAUCAAGAGGAGAAGAAAGAUAAUUAGCUCCAUGAAAGCAUAGAUAAUUUGAUGUGAGGUAUGUACAACAAACAUAGAGUUCUAUGUUUGACAAGUGUAGAAGAAAAGUGGCACAUAUGCUCAGUUAAAGUUAAUGCUAUAAAAGAUAUCACAAAUGAACUUCAUCUUUCACUUUCAUUUUGUAUGAUGUGUACUUGCAUUUUUAAGGAUUGAUAUGACGAAGAUAUUUCAUUCUGCUAUCCAAACAUUGUGUCAUCCUUUGCUUACCCCAUUUGAUUUUUAGUCCUAUUUUCCUUUAUACCCCUCUUUUGGAAUCAAGAUAGAGUCAGCAAGGUUCAAAAGAGAAGGUGGUGAGCAAAACAAUAGGGUCAGAAAGGUUUCAAAAAGAAAAAAAGAGAUAAAAAUGUAUCCAAAAAGAAAGGAAAAAAAGAGUGUCAAGAAAAAAGAGUUAGAAAAAAGUUUCAAAAAGAGUCCAUAAAAAAAGAAAAAAUAAAAAAACAGAGUCAAGCAAAGGAAUAAGUUGUCAGAACUAUGGGUGACCUAAUUCACCUCUCUCGGAGGUGAGAUACGUAGGCUGCCCUACUCUGGGCUCGGUCCAAACAAAUAAAUAAUUUAGAAUUAUCCAGUCAAAAGAAACUAGGGCAUGAGUUAAUCCUCAUUUUUUGAGUCAAUUCCAAAAGUUGUAAGUACUACCACACUUCAAGUGUCGUUUGAGCCGCAUGACAUCCUUUCUUUGUAACUCUAUCCAAAAGUCAAGUUACAACCAAUGAAAGACCUUCAGAUCAAUCUUUGAGAAUAUUAAGGCUAAGCAUGCAGUGGAUAUGAUGAUGCAUUUUGGGUACUAUUUGUCUUCCUCAGUAUAAAGAAUCAAGAGAGAAAUAAAAAUGAGAAAGUCUUAUUGGUGAAAACCCUCAUGGGCAUCGUAAGUCGAGAGAGAAUGAAAUAAGAGUCUUAUUGGUGAAAACCCUCACAGGAAUUGUAAGGUGAUGGUAAGUUGAGAGAAAUAAAAAUGAGAGAGUCUUAUUGGUGAAGAUCCUCACUGGCAUCAUAAGACGAUGGUGAACUGAGAGAAAAGUGAGAGAGGCUUGUUGGCGAAAACCCUUCAAAGUGUCACUAGCUGAAUGAGGUCUUAAAUGCAAUUGACCUAAGGAAGCAACUCAGUUUCAAGGCCAUUAACUUAAUCCAAAUGCAUGGCAUAAUCGUUAGAGUUGACUGUCAUUUUUAGAUAAAUUUUUUUAUUUCUUCGUUUAAAAUAGGACAUUUAUUUUCUUUUCUUUCUUCUCUUUAUUUUUAUUUUAUUUUCUUGAGUCAGUUAUCCAAAUAAAAAAAUCAUUGUCAUUUUUCCUCUUGUCUUUGAGUCAAGUCCAUGUCAAAACAAGUGAAAAAAGAUUUCAAAAUUGGCUACCAGCUUCUUCAAUUAUACAAAGCAAUACAGAAAGGCCAGAACAUGAAAUAGACAUGAUUGUGAUUCGAAGUAAGGCAAGCAAAAAGUUUUGUCAACAGACAAGUCUGGGAACUCAUAAAAAUACCAAGGUUCAAAGGGUUUAUCUGAGGAGCAUGGCAAAGAAAAGAUACUGUGGUUGUUUCAGAGUCACUCUUAAUAAUAUGAGUUUGGGUCAAUGAUGCAGCAGGUCAGUGACAUAUGCUAAUGGUUGGAAGAAAGGUUAAAUGUGAUGAGAGCAAGAGCGAUUUGCCAUGAAAGUUAAAUCCACAAACCAACCACUAUAUUUUUAUACUCACAAGUUUUCUUUGUAUGAAAUAGAGACACAAGUUGUCUUCAAAUGAAGGAUUUCAAUGCCUAAACAUCAAAGGCCGUAAUAUUCUCACUUCUACAAAUACAAGAGGCAAUGUUUCUGCACAGGUUUCGUAAUAAAAACCAUGGUAAAACUCAUAAUUCAAUAUCCCUAGUAGACAUACUUACUUGUCCAGGAGACGCAUUUCCUUAGGUAAUUCAAGUGAUAUUUGUAAGGAGACACAUUUUCUUGUAUGAGUAAUUUAAAUGAAAUUUGUAAGGAUAUAUAUUUCCUUGUGAAAUUCAAGUGGCAUUUGUAAGGAGACACAUUUUCUUGUCUGGAUAGUUUAAGUGGUAUUUGCAAAGAGAUGCGUUUCCUUGUAUGAGUAAUUCAAGCAACAUUAAUAAGGAGACACACUUUCUUGUUUUGGGUAAUUUAAGUGACAUUUGUAAGGAAACGCACUUUCUUGUUUGGGUAAUUCAAGAAACAUUUGUAAGGAGACGCAUUUCCUUAUUUUGGGUAAUUCAAGUGAAUAUUUGUAAGGAGACACACUUCCUUGUUUGGGUUAUUCAAGUGACAUUUGUAAGGAGACGCACUUCCUUGUUUGGAUAAUUCAAGCGGCAUUUAUAAGGAGACACACUUCCUUUUUUGGGAAAUUCAAGAGGCAUUUGUAAGGAGACACAAUUUAUUGUUUGGAUAAUUCAAGAAUUAUUUGCAAGGAGACACACUUCCUUAUUUGGGAAAUUCAAGUGACAUUUGUGAGGAGACACAGUUCCUUGUUUGGGUAAUUCAAGCGUUAUUUGUGAGGAGAUGCACUUCCUUGUUUGGAUAAUUCAAGCGGUAUUGGUAAGGAGAAACACUUCCUAUUUUGGUAAUUCAAGCGGCAUUAGUAAGGAGAAGCACUUCCUUGAUUGGAUAAUUUGAAUUUUACUUGUUAGUUGAUGCACUUCCUAACUUAAUUAUUGAUUCCUAGAAGAUGUACUUCCUAGUUGAGUCAGUCCCCUUGAUUCCUAGAAGAUGUACUUCCUGGUCGAGUCAAUCCCCUUGAUUCCUAGAAGAUGUACUUUUUGGUCAAGUCAUCCACCUUGAUUCAUAGAAGAUGAAAUUCCUGGUCGAGUCAGUCCCCUUUAUUCCUAGAAGAUGUACUUCCUGUUUAAGUCAUUUCCCUUGAUUCCUAGAAGAUGUACUUCCUAGUCGAGUCAGUCCCUUUGAUUUAUAGAAAAUGCACUUUCUAGUUGAGUCAUUGCACUUAACCCUUAGGAUACACACUUCCGUGUUAGUUUUCAUUUGUCAGGUGACACACUUUUUUAACUUAAACUUUUAUCUCUAGAAGACUCACUUUCUAGUCAGAAUUCCUAACUUUAAUUCUUAGGAGAUGCACUUCCUAAUCUUGGUCAUUUAAUUUUAAUCUCAAGAGAUGCAUUUCUUGGUCAGAGUCUUGAUUUAUGAUUGCAACAUACAAGUAGUUAUGAUGUGACUUUACAAAAGUCCUCUGACGAUAAUCUGGGGCAAAAAUAAUUUUAAUUCUUAUUGUUCGGAACUUUUCUUUUCUGGCAAAUGGAAUCUCUCUUUAUAAUAAUAUUUGUAUGGAAUAAUUUUUUUUAAGUUUUGAUGUGAUUUCAGGAGCCCGCCUGAAGAACAGGAAAAUAAAUGAAAAGUCAACCAACAAGGUGAAGAAGUUGAAAGUCAACAGAUUAAAAAAUAGCAAGUCAGGAGCCCACCUAGAGAAUAGGGUGAAGAAAUUGAAAGUCAAAAUUUAAAAAUAGAAAGUCAGGAGUCCGUCUGGAGAAUAAGGUGAAGAAAUUGACAGCCAAGCAACAAGUUGAAGAAAUUGCAAGUCAGGAGCUCGCCUGGAGAACAGGUGAUGAAAUUGUAUGUCGGAAGCCCGCCCGGAGAACAAGGUGAUGAAACUUAAGUCAAGAGUCCAGAGAAGCUUCAUAGAUAAGACUUUUGUAAUUUUAUUUAUCUUUUAACUUGUAAUUUUUAUUUUUGAUGUUACGACAGAUCCGCGGACCGGAACCUCUAUAGGACCACACUGGACUCUCCAAUUCGAUCGUUCUUCUUUCUUUUAUAUCUUUCUUCGAAUAAUGGUCGGAUCAAAAUUUGGUAUCGUUGUCUACUUUUUUGUCUAAAAAUAAUGUGUUUACACCCAAAAAGGGACAUGAUGUAGACACCUAAUUUUGUCACUCCCGAAGUUCAAUUUUAUUCAUUUUUGCCUCACCCUAUCAUACACUCCCACCUAUGUGAUUAUACCCCACAAAAAUACAAAAAAAUAACAAAAAAUUCAAUAAAUCCAUAACAAAUUAAAUCCCUAAUAUUUCCUUAUCCUAACAAACUUUAUCUCAACCAACUCAUACCUUUACCACUACCCCACAUCACCACCCCUACCCCUAACCUUACCCCUACCCUUAACCCCCUCUCCCCAUAUUUAUCUUCCAUGUAGAAUAGAGAGAUAUAUAAACAGGGAGAGAAUAUAUAAUCAAGGAAAUAAAUAAAAAACCCACAUACACACCAUUGAAGGGGACACAACAGGGGAACUUCUCCAUUUUUUUCCAUUCUUUAGAGAAUGAUAUAACGCACACACUGCCAAAUAAUUUCCCUUUUCUACAUCAUAAUCACACAAUUUCCAUGCACUAAAAAUAUACAAUGAAAUUCUGAUCUGCACGGACAGAAACAAACAGAGAGAGACGAUGGUUGAUUUUUUUUCUCUAUUAACAGUAAAUACACCAUCAUACACUUAUGCACGCACAUAGUGAAAAGCGAGAGAUAUUUAAAGAAGAUUAAGAGAAGGGGAUAGAGAUGAGAGAGUUGAUCAGAGAUUGAGAAAGAGUGAAGAGAAAAAUCUAGAAAGGGUUAACGAGGGAGAAAACAACCAAAGAGGUUUGAACGAAGAGAGUGAAAAAGGGUGUUGGUCUAUUUUUUUAAAGAAAUCAUUGCCAGAAUUGACUCAUAGUUAAUGUUCCAACAACAAACCUUCUGGAAAAAUUCCAAAAUAACAUUGUUCUUCCCCGUUCCAGAUUCAGUGGAAAAAUAGUCAAAUUUAGUUUGGAUUUUUUUUCUUGCAACGUCGAGUGGUGCGAGAUUGUUUGGGGUUGUAUUUGGUCGUCGUUGAGGUUUUUCGAUCGAGGUAUAGUGUGGUUGGGGAUUUGUAUUAUCAUGGUUUUCUAUUCUGAAUCCAGCAAUAUGUGUCUCAAUCGAAUAUGAUGGUUUGAAGAACAAUUGAGGUUAAAUUCUUCUUCUAAUUCUAUUCUUCUUUCGUUUAUCUUAAAUCUAUUGAUGCUAUGAUUAUGUAAUUCGUACGUGGUUGAUGACACAUUUUUUAUUAUGUGAUUGAACAAUUCUAUUUGUUUUGGAUUUAUUGAUUAAUUCGAUAUUAAAAUUGGUUAAUUGGUUGAGAAUGACUCGAAUUCGUUUUGGGUAAAUAAAAUGGAGGCGAGAAUUGAGAAAUUGACAAAAGGGUGAAUUUAGAUUAAUUUUGGUUUAUUAUUGUUUUGUUUAAUUAGAAUAAAUGUCAAGUUUGUGAACUUGAUUGGAUCAUAUUCUAGGUCGAUAGCUUAAUAGGAAAAAGUUUAGGUUCGGGUAGGCAAAUUUAUGGAUUGUUGAGUAAUGUAGAAUGUUUGUUGAAUGGUUCUCUUUUUCUCGCAUUUGAAAGAUGUAUUCAUUUAGUUGCAGAAUGCCCUAUGGUUAUUUGUAUUUAUUCACUGGAAAAUGUCCUGAAGUAUUGUGUAUGCAAAGGAUGCUUGUGAUCAAGGCCCGGGGCAUCGGGUAAAGAAUUGUAGCAUAGUUUAGGAUUACCGUAGGUUAGAAUAAAAUUUAUAUUUGUAUUAUUAUAUGUUAGAUUGUAUAUGUAACGCCUCAAGAAUACACCCUAUGCAUCACACGGUGCUUACAGUCCCGAGGGACCGUAAGCUAACCCAUGAGCUGGUACCUGCUGUGAGCAAUGGAUAACAUGAUCAUAAAUGCAGAAGAAUAAUGACAUGCCAUAAGGUUUUAAUAACUAAAUUCAAAACUGAAAUAUGAGUUUAUAAAAAUAACUGACUGAAUCUGAUAAAAUAAUGAUAACCUAGAUAACUAACUGUAAUGUCUGAAUACUGAAUACUGACUCUAAUGUCUAAUAAGCCUCUAAAACUGAAUGACUGUGAGGUGAUCGGACAGGUCCCAAUUAACUCCAACUAAGUAGUAACUGAGACAUGAAAUAAAGUAAGCCUGUCCUCAAAGUAUGAGGACUCACCACUGCUACUGCUGAGGAUCUGAUAAGUCUAAUCGCGAGCCGAAAAUUGAGUGUCAGAACCUAUGAUAUAAUACAUCAUAGCACAAAAGAAAAGGUAUGCGAUCAGUACUUUGAAUGUACUUGUAUGAUAAAUAAGGUGUACUGAUAUGCAUGAUUUCAUGAACAAAACUAAUAAUUAACUGAAUAUAUAUGUAAAGCAUGGAGUAUUGAAUAAAGAGCAUGAAAUUUGUAGGUACUGGGAAUAUGUGGAAAUAUUUAAAUACUGAGUAUGCAUGAAUAUCUGUAAAUACUGAGGAUGCAUGACCAAGCAUAUAACAUGAACAGAGUAACAUUUGUAAACUAAAAUACUGAAAUAACUAAAAUCUGUAUGCUUUGGUCAAACAACACUAAGACUGAAUAACAUAACUGGGACUAUAACUGAGACUGUAUCUGAGACUGUGGGAGGUAUCAUUUAACCGACAUUCCCCAAUUUGAGCUAAUCGGGGUCCAAUCUAUAACCCUAAUUGGAAGGGUAAUCAUAUCGUGCCACGAGUACUAACGAUGGGUAUGUGGAUGUACUAAACUUAUUUAAUGUCCAAAGGACUAAGGGUGUUAACCCUGAACUAAAGGGUGACCUCUGCGAGAUAGUCAAGCCUAAUCUGAUAGGUGACUUCUCAUAUCCUACGCUGAUUACGUAGUUCUAGAGUAUAGGGACUGCUACUAAUGACUCUGCCUAUCUGACGGGGAAGCCACCAUCCCUACACUCGCUCGGUGCUAAAUCCUACUCCCAACUAAAAGACACUGAAAUACUAGACUGUUCUGAGUUUAUAUAACUGGUAACUGACUGUUCUGAUAAUGCUCAUAGUAUGUUUUGAAGACUUUUCUGUAAUGUACUGAUACUAGACUAAGUAAACAACUAUAGAUUUCAGGUAUUCAAUACCCCAGGACUCAAAAACAAUAAUAGUAAAAUGAUACUAAAGCUUGAAGGACAAAACAUGAAGGCUUUUAUUUAAAUCAAUCACUCUUGUAGGCAUUUUAUCAAACACUUGUAGUUCAGGGUUUAAAACAAUCAUAGGAAUGCCAUAGAACUUAUAAAAAUAGCAUGAAUUCAACAUAAUAGUACUAAAUUAUGGUUUUAUUCAAUAAAUAAUAAUAUAAAAACAUGGAGGAUUGAAUGAUAUUUUCGAUUGAGAAAGCGGCAGGCCCAAUGAGUUCUCCUAUAGUGCCUCGAAAUAGCAAUUUCAUGGUAACAUGGUAUAAAAUCAAUAGUACGUGAAGGUUCAUGGGCGAAAUUAUAAUUUAAAAUCAAAUAGCUUGUAAAGAUUAUGACUUGUAAAUUAAAAUAGGAUAUUUGGACUUUAUGGAUGAAAUGAAUCCAGGGAUAAACAUCUAACAUACCUGGGAUAGUGAAUUUCUUGAAGUUCUGGGUGAGUUCCUGAGGAUUGAUCUAGAAUUUGAGAGCUAGGGUUUUUUGUUAUUGGAAAAGGGGAUCAUUAAUUUGAGAGAAAGUUGAAUAAAGAAUGAUUAUCUAGGUCAAUUGAGGCUAAAUUUUGUGUUUUAGGACGAGUUUAGGACUUAGGUAAAAGGACCCAAAUACCCUUAUAUGGAUUUAAAACGUAAGCUGAAAACUGACCAUCCCAAUUUUUAGCCUUGGCGCGAUGUGCGACUAUCGUGCCAAGCCACUAGAAAUGUGCAAUUAGGACCUGAACAAACAUCAUGACAUGGAUCAAUCGCAGUAAGCCUUUGGAAUGCCAAUUUGGCUACCUCUGCGAUGCACCAACAUCACAGAGGCCUACUGGAAAUUGCCAAAUUAGAAAUUGGCCUGCUCCGCGAUACGCCAACAUCGCAGAGUAUCACUGGAAAUUGACAAUUGUUAUUUGGACUUUCUUCGUGAUGCGCUAAGGGUAAAAAUGAUGAGGCCUAACAACUGAAACUUAAAAUCACCAUAACUUCUUAUCCGGUUAUCGAAUUUGGGCAAAUUUUAUAUCGUUGGAAAGCUAAUUGAAUUUCCUACGCAAUGACAGGCUCUAAACUGAAAAAUAAUGAGUGUUCCAAAAAUUUUAUAUGCAAAUACUCAUGUAUUAAGACUUAGAUUAUGCUAGGGAAAUACAGGGUGUUACAAUAUCUCCCCCUUGGGAUCAUUCGUCCUCAAAAAAACUAGUUAAGCUAAGGAAAACUGCUGGACUUAGCUUAUACAUUGAACAUACAUAUAUGAUGCAUGGAUUACAUGACUGAACUGAUUUGUAAAUAUACGGCUGACGUGAACAUGAUGUGCAACUAAAACUGAGCACGAUAGAGAGAAAUCUUAAGAAGAUUAGUACCUUAUACUGAAUAUGGUUUCGCGGAGAAAAGAUAAGGGUACUUGGUCCAUAUAUCUGCCUCUGAUUCCUAAGAUGCCCCCUCAAUGGACUGAUUCUGCCAAAGAAGUCUAACUAGUGAAACUUCUUUGUUCCUUAGCCUAUGAAUUUGAUGAUUAAGAAUUUCGACUGGAACUUCCUCAAAGGAAAGGCUGUUCGAAAUAUCUAAACUUUCUAAGGGAAUAACAACAGCUGGAUCACCAAUACACUUUCUCAAUAAUAAGAGAUAGAACACUGGAUGUACUGAGGCUAGAUCUGAUGGUAACUUAAGCUCGUAAGCUACCUUUCUGAAAAGACUGAGAAUUUUGAAGCUACCGACAUAUUAAGGACUGAGUUUCCUUUUCUUGAUGAAUCUCUUCACUCCUUUCUUGUGAGAUAUUUUUAAGUAUAUGAAAUCACCGACCUCAAACUCGAGAUCCUUAUCUUCACAUAUGCUUACGAUGUCUGUCGCCUCUAGGAAACCCUAAGCCUUUCUCUGAUCAACUGAACCUUCUUUAACACAUCAAACACUAAGUCAGGGCCUACUACUGCAGCCUCACCUACUUCAAACCAACCAAUUGGAGAUCUAUAUCUCCUACCAUAGAGAGCCUCAAAUUGAGCCAUACGAAUACUGAAAUGAUAGUUGUUAUUGUAUGCAAACUCAAUUAAAGAAAAGUGGUCAUCCCAACUAUCUUUAAAAUCAACUGCGCAUGCUCUCAGCAUAUCCUCAAGAGUCUGAAUGAUCCUUUUUGCUUGAUAGUCUGUCUGAGGGUGAAAGGUUGUACUGCGAUGGAUUUAGGUACCAAGACCCUUUUUGGAAUGCUUUCCAGAAAUGAGAGGUAAACUGGGUACUUCUAUCUGACAUGAUAGAUAAGGGAACACCGUGCAACAUAAAUAACUCUCUGAGAUAGAGUUUGGCACAGUCCUCGAUUGAAUAAGAGGUAUGGAUUGGCAAGAAAUCAGCUGGUUUGGUCACCCUGUCUAUGAUAACCCAAAUAGAAUCAUGCUGAUGACGGGUAUGAGGUAAACCUAUCACAAAAUCUAUGUUCACUUCCUCCCACAUCCAAGUGGGAAUACUAAACUCCUGCAUGGACCCACUAGGUUUUUGGUGCUCAAUAUUUACUUGCUGGCACGUAGAUCACUUAGCCAUAAACUUCUUAAUAUCUCUCUUUAUCCCACUCCACCAAUAGAUCUCUUACAAAUCACGAUACAUCUUAGUAACCCCUAGAUGAAUAGAGUAACGUGCACCAUGCGCUUCUGCAAUAAUUCAUUGCCUCAAGUUAUCUAUACCAGGCACAUAUAGCCAACCCUGACAACGCAACACACCAUCUCCCCCUUGGGAGGAAACCUCCACCUUCUUAUCUCUGAUUGAUUCUUUUAACAUAACCUGACUGGGAUCUCUAUCCUGCUUUUUUUUCACCUCGGAAACUAGAGAUGAUUCUGAGCUACUCUGUACCCACACACUACCUUCUGCUAAGUCGUCUAAGUGGAUACCUAGCCGGGAAAGCUAAAGGACUUCCUGAGCUAACUGCUUCUUACCAUCCUUAACAUGAGCUACACUACCCAUGGACAAUCUACUGAGAGCAUCAGCCACUAUAUUGGCCUUGCCCGGAUAAUACAAAACACUCAUGUCAUUAUCCUUUAAUAAUUCUAACCACCUUCUCUGACAUAAUUCAAAUCUUUCUGAGAGAACACAUAUUGAAGGCUUUUGUGAUCUGUGAACACAUCCAUAUGUACCCUAUACAAGUAAUGCCUCUAUAUCUUUAAGGCGAAUACUACUACUGCUAACUCAAGAUCAUGAGUUGGAUAAUUCUUGUCAUGGGGUCUAAGUUGUUUAGAAGCAUAGGCUAUAACCUUACCUCUCUGCAUGAGGACACAACCCAAACUUACUCUGGAUGCAUUACAAUACAUAACAAACCCAUCUAAACUAUAUGGUAGAGUCAAGACUGGGGCUGAGGUGAGUCGAGUCUUCAACUCCUGAAAACUCCUCGCAGGAAUCUUACCACUGAAACUUAACUUUCUUCUGAGUCAAUCUGGACAUGGGGGAUGUAAUAAAUGAAAAUCCUUCAAUACACCAAUGAUAAUAGCCAGCUAAAACUAUGAAACUCCUAAUGUCUGAUGGAGAUAUGGGUCUAGGCCAGUCUCUCACCACUUUAGGCUUUUGAGGAUCAACUCUAAUGUCAUCACCGAAAAUAAUUUGACCAAGGAAAGCAACUGAUCUUAGCCAGAAUUCACACUUACUGAAUUUAAUGAAUAACUAGUGAGCUCUAAGAGUUUGCAACACUAUUCUAAGAUGGUCUGCAUGAUUAGUUUCUCUAUGGGAAUAAAUAAGGAUGUCAUCAAUAAAGACUAUGAUGAACAUAUCUAAGUGCUUCUUAAACACUCGGUUCAUCAAGUCCAUGAAGGCUGCUGGGGCAUUCGUGAGACAAAAGGACAUGACUAGAUAUUUGAAGUGACCAUACCGAGUUUGGAAAGCUAUUUUCGGAAUGUCACAUUCCCUAACCUUAAGCUGAUGAUAGCCUGAUCUGAGGUUUAUCUUUGAAAACUAACUGGCACCCUGAAGUUGAUCAAACAAGUCAUCGAUUCUAGGAAGUGGAUAUUUAUUCUUGACUGUGACUUUGUUCAACUGACGGUUGUCUAUGCAUAUUCUGAGAGAACCAUCUUUCUUAUGCAUGAAUAGAAUAGGUGCAUCCCAUAGGGAGAUGCUGGGUCUGAUGAAUCCCUUAUCUAAGAGAUCCUUCAACUAUUCUUUCAAUUCUUUGAGUUUGGCUGGAGCUAUUCUGUAUGGCAAAAUAGAUAUCGACUGAGUAUAUGGAAAAAGGUCUAUUUUGAAUUCGAUUUCCCUUUCGGGAGAAACUCCAGGGAGAUCCUCAGGGAAUACAUCUAAAAUUUAUUUACUACUGGAACUGACACAAUAGUUAAAGUUUCUGAGUUAGAGUUUUUGACUCGCCUAAGAUAGUAAAUACACCCCUUCGAUAUCAUCAAUAUCGCUUUGAGGUACGAAAUUAAAUGACCCCUAAGAGCUGUAGUUCUACCUCUCCAUUCAAGGAUUGGUUCAUUUAGGAAAUAAAAAUGAACUAUUCUAUUUCUACAAUCAACUGAGGCAUAGCAUGAGUGGAGCUAAUCCAUGAUGAGAAUGACGUCAAAAUCUUUCAUCUCUAACUCUACGAGAUCAACUGAGAUAACUUUCUGAGAUAUUAUGACCGGACAGCUCCUGUAUACCUAUCGGGCUAUAAUGGAAAUGCCUACUGGGGUAGACACUGAAAAGGGCUCUACUAGAGUUUUAGGACUGACUCUAAAGUUGACGGCUAUACAUAGAGUUACAAAAGAAAGAGAAGCUCUAGGGACUAGUAAAGCAUAAACAUGUAAGUGAAAGACCUACAACGUACUAGUAACUACAUCAGAAGAAUUUUCCUGAUCUUGGUAGGACUGAAGAGCAUAUAAUCUGUUCGGACGCUGACCACUAGUAGCACUGGAAGUGGCACCCUGCUGAGUUGGGCGACCGGAUGAAACUGAUGACUGAUGGGACUGGCCUUGUUAGCGUACAUCCCUACCUUUUUGAGCAACUACCCGACACUCCUAAAUUUGAUAGACUGGCUUUCCAUACCCAAAUCACACUUCACUACCCACUCUACACUCACCUUGAUAGUAUCUUCCAUAUUUCUAUCAUAGGAGAUUUGUACGAGCACUGCUAACACUGUCCUGGGACUUAGAGCCUAGUGCUCUAUCCCUAUUGUCAUUUAUGAAUUUGGGUAUUGAGGCACUGGCUGAAGAUGGUGCUGGGGCUGAAGACCUUUGCUGAAAUGAGGCAGUUACCACCCUCUGACUUUGGCUGACUAAAGUUAAAACUACCCAUCCUAGCCCUCUUAUUUCCUCUCUCCCUUCUUAAUCUUCUACUACUUUAUCUAUUGAGCAUGGACCAUCAGCCUAGACAUGACCAUCUCACUAAUUAGCAUUGCGGUCCUGCACUCCUUGACUACACUGUCAGAUACACCAAAUAUAAACUUACCCAUCUUGGACCUGUUAUCAGAUACCACAUGGGGAGCAUAUCUAGCUAAUUGAGUGCACUUGAGGGAAUACUCUCUCACGCUCAUGCUGCCCUGCCUCAAGUUAAUAAACUCUAACACCUUGGCCUCCCUUAACUCCAAUGGGAAGAAACUAUCUAUGAAUGCUGUGGAAAACUCUUCCCAUUCUACACGCCCUGCAUCUACACCCCUAUCAACCUUCCACUACUUAAAAUAAGUAUGGGAUACAUCCUGCAACUAGUAUGUAUCCAACUUAGCACUCUGACUAGAUGUCACCCCCAAAGCAUCCCUGACCUUCUAAACCAUGUCUAAGAAUUCUUGUGGAUCCCCUUCAGACUUAAACGUUGUGAAUGAAGGAGGGUUCAUCCGGGUAAAGUCCAAAAUUAUUUUUACAGCAGUAUUGGCCUAUAGGUUGGAUGGAAAAACAGCUGGCCAUUCAUUCUAUACUGCUAUAGAGUUUGAUAGAGUGGUAAAUGCAACUUUAAAUUCUGCAUGAGAGACAUGCUCGUCUAGAGGAUAUGCUUAGAUGGGCUAAGGGGCUGGCUGGUUUCCUAUUCUUUUUUCAUUCUUCUUGGGAGGCAUGUUCUGUAAACAAAAGGAAGAAAUGGAUUAUACAGGGAGUUUAACUUGAGCUUAUGCUCACUUGCAUGACAUGAAUACUGAAAGAAGGGAAACUUUUCCUAAAUGCCUCAUAGCCUCUCGCCGAUAAGUGAGGUGUGCUACACACCCAUACACAAGACUCUACAUGACAUGAAUUUCAGACUUCCUUGGAAACUUUAAAACCUUAGGAUCUGAUACCAAGUUUGUAACACCCCUAAAGUAUACCCUGGGAGACAGACGGUAUUUACAGUCCCGAGGGACCGCAAACUAGCCUAUGAGCUGGUACCUGAUGUGAGCACUGGAUAACAUGAUCAUAAAAGCGGAAGAAUACUAACACACCAUAAGGUUUUAAUAACUAAAUUCAAACUAAAAUACGAGUCUACAGAAAUAACAGACUGAAUCUGAUAAAAUAAUGAUAAACUGGAUAACUAACUAUAAUGUCUGAAUACUAAAAAACAGACUCUAAUGUCUGAUAAGCCUAUAAAACCGAAUGAUUGUGAGUUGAUAGGACAGGCCCCAACUAACUCAAACUAACUAUUAUAUGAGACAUGAAAUAAAUUAAGCCCGUCCUCAAAGUAUGAGAACUCACCAUAACUAAUGAUGAGGAUCUAAUAAGUCUAAUUGCGAGCCGGGAACUAAGCAUCAAAGUGUAUGAGGUUUAUCUUAAAUUGGGGUUGCAUUUGGUUAUCAUUGAGGUUCUUCGAUCGAGGUCUAGUACGGUUGGGGAUUUGUAUUAUCAUUGUUUUUUGUUCUGAAUCCAACAAUAUAUUUCUCAAUCGAAUAUGAUGGUUUGAAGAACAAUUGAGGUUAAAUUCUUCUUCUAAUUCUAUUAUUCUUUUGUUUAUCUUAAAUCUAUUGAUGCUAUGAUUAU